GGAUGCUGAAGAAUGGGGACGUCACACUGGCCGAUUUUGUGGUUGGUUUCACAAACCGGAAGUUCAUGCUGUGCUGUUUCUGCUGAAGUAUGCUGUUGAGCCUGUGCUACGGUUGAAGUGUCCGUAUUUCUUGGGUGAUAAUUCGUUCGAGAAAACUUCUUGAUACGCAGUUCGAUGUGGGCCAGGUUUUCGGUUUGGGGUUUUUUGCUCUGCGGCGCUGACGGAGCUCGUCGCCUGCGGAAGUCUAGGAGUACUGGAAGGAGAUCUACAUAAAUUUGUGAGCAUGAGCAAGCAAUACAUUCUGUGAAGGCCUGAGACUGGGGCAUUUGCCAAACUACUUUCGGUGCUUCCUGUCUGUGUGCCGCUCUAUUUAUCUACCUGCCUUGACUUUUCACCGAAAGUGGUUAUGAGAUCGAUGUUGUUUGCCAGAAUGUUCAAAAAACUUUUCCCUGGACAAAAAUUUUAUCAUGGGUCAACCUAUUGAAAGACAAGCCGCCGUGGAUAUUGG